rnacentral:tRNA from 1 species
CAGAAAGUAAUUUAAAUAAAAAUUCUGCCUUUGGGAGGCAGUUAUCCGUUACUCCGGCUUUCUGA